CCCUAGAAAACCUGCCCAACCUGGACGUAGAGUCGGGUUAGGGCUCCGCCCAUCUGGGCUCGGAGGAUUCCUGGGUCCCCGCCCAAGCUCUUGCCCUCCACCUUCCACCCAACGCCUAAUUGGGGACAGGCCACACCCCCAGUCGGUGGCACCCUGGUGGUGACCCCCGUUGUCGCGGGCUCGACAGGGUUAAGGUUUCGGGGCGGGUGGGGGUUUGGGGAGGAAGGGGGACUGAGCCAAUCGGCUGCGGCUGAGUCCCGGGGAGUGAGGAUCCGAGAGCAGAGCCGGAGCAGCGGCCCGGGCAGCGGCUGGGGCAGCGGCUGGGGCAGGAGCAGCAAAGGAGAGGCAGUCCGCUAGUCCCUCGGACGCUACCGGAGCCGCCCCAUCCCCCACCGCCACUGCAGUGCCGGCUUUCUCCGGCCAGAAGGACCCAGGCGUCCCGGGUGCCCCAGCCAUGGAGCAAGACAACAGUCCCCGCAAGAUCCAGUUCACAGUCCCGCUGCUGGAGCCGCACCUGGACCCGGAGGCGGCGGAGCAGAUCCGAAGGCGUCGUCCCACCCCAGCCACCCUUGUGCUGACCAGUGACCAGUCAUCUCCAGAGAUUGAUGAAGAUCGGAUCCCCAAUCCUCUGUUCAAGUCCACAUUGUCCAUGUCUCCAAGGCAGAGGAAGAAGGUGACUCGGACCACACCAACGAUGAAAGAGCUCCAGAUGAUGGUAGAACAUCACCUCGGACAGCAGCAGAAGGAAGAAACGGAAGCGGCAGCGGCAGAGAGCGAAGGAACCCAGGAGUCCUGCCUGCCUGAACAUGAAGACACAGAAAUGGGUUCAAAGCUGAGCCUCCCUAGAACUUCCCCGAGGCUUCCAGAAUCCAUCCCCAAGAUCCAGGAGGCUGGCAGUGAGGAAUCUAGUUCAGAGGCACCAACAGUGCAUAUACCACCUCCAGGCUCCAGGGGGGCAGACUAGGUGCCCACACCACCUCUGAGGGUCAAAACAAAGUAGGUGGCCCGGAGCUACAGCAGGAGGGAUUGAGGUUAGACAUCAAGAAGGAAUUCCUGCCUCUGGAAUAGGUCCAAGGACCACGAAGCUGUCCUGGAAUCGAGGCUGGGGCUGGAGCCCCCCCAAUUGCUGGUUCUUUUCUUCUUUCUUCAUUUCGGGGUGAUAUCUCGAAUUUCUAAAAAGUGAUAAAUUUGGUGUUGGGCC